rnacentral:rRNA from 1 species
GCGGCGGAGCAUGCGGUAUUAAUUCGAUGCAACGCGAAGAACCUUACCAAGGCUUGACAUACACCGGUAACGCCCAGAGAUGGGUGCCCCUUUGUGGUCGGUGGACAGGUGGUGCAUGGUUGUCGUCAGCUCGCGUCGUGAGAUGUUGGGUUAAGUCCCGCAACGAGCGCAACCCUCGUCCUAUGUUGCCAGCGGGUCAUGCCGGGGACUCAUGGGAGACUGCCGGGGUCAACUCGGAGGAAGUGGGGAUGACGUCAAAUCAUCAUGCCCCUUAUGUCUUGGGCUUCACGCAUGCUACAAUGGCCGGUACAAAGGGCUGCGAUACCGCGAGGUGGAGCGAAUCCCAGAAAGCCGGUCUCAGUUCGGAUUGGGGUCUGCAACUCGACCCCAUGAAGUCGGAGUCGCUAGUAAUCGCAGAUCAGCAACGCUGCGGUGAAUACGUUCCCGGGCCUU